CGGAAUAUAGCGCAGUUUGGUAGCGCACCUGUUUUGGGAACAGGAGGUCAUAUGUUCAAAUCAUAUUAUUCCGA
rnacentral:tRNA from 1 species